UGAUUUUCUGCACGAUGAACAAUCAACAACAUUAGAACGAUAGAAGAAUUCUUGGACCUACACGGAAGAAUCUGAUGGAACUGUUGUUUACGCUUGCUUUGCCGUAGCCAUAUACAGGGGAGCUAGCAGUGUCAUCAAGUUCAGUUCCAUUACCAGAAAAAGAGAAUGGAAAAUGGCCUUGCAGGUUAGUGGUUUGAGUUGUAGAACUCGUUUAAAAGUGACCCAAAAUUUCGCCAAAUUUUUGCUAAGGCUCGAGAAGUAUGGGCUCUGGUUGUAAAGAAGAUGGUCCCUAAAGCAAUGGGGGGGAAAAGCAAGGUCAAACAUGGCCGGACAAAGACAACAAUCCGACAUCCGUGAAUGUUAGCUAAGUUAAAGUCAAACCUGCCCUUUUCGUUUUUGCAUUAAACACUCGAUGUUUAAAAGUCCUUGCUGCUAAUAAUGGGAAGCCAUUACUGCUUUGUGAGAUUACAGAGCUAUUACCUCAGCUUCAAAUUAGAAAUGGGUUUUGAAUUUUGCAACUGUUCCUUUCUUGUGAGCUCGAGUUUUGAUGAAUUGGAUUGAUUUAAUAGUUUCUGUUUCAAUCCAAGUUGGCAGGGAGAAAAACUCAGCAGAUAAUAAACCAAAUCCUCCACUGAUUUCCAAUUUUCUUUUCUUAGUUUGAAAUGGAAAAGUGAAUGAAAAACUCUGCAGUUCGGCUCAUUACUUACCGUUGUCAUCC